rnacentral:rRNA from 1 species
GACGAACGCUGGCGGCGUGCUUAACACAUGCAAGUCGAACGGAAAGGCCCUGCUUUUGUGGGGUGCUCGAGUGUCGAACGGGUGAGUAACACGCGAGUAACCUGCCCUUGACUUUGGGAUAUCUUCAGGAAACUGGGGCUCAUACCGGAUAGGAGAUCCUGCUGCAUGGUGGGGGUUGGAAAGUUUCGGCGGUUGGGGAUGGACUCGCGGCUUAUCAGCUUGUCGGUGGGGUAGUUGCUUACCAAGGCUAUGGCGGGUAGCCGGCCUGAGCGGGUGGCCGGCCACAUUGGGACUGAGAUACGGCCCAGACUCCGACGGGAGGCAGGAGUGGGGAGUAUUACACAAUGGGAGGGAGCCUGAUGCAGGAACGCCGCGUGCGGGGUGACGGCCUUCGGGUUGUAAACCGCUUUCGCCUGUGACGAAGCGUGAGUGACGGUAAUGGGUAAAGAAGCACCGGCUAACUACGUG